GCCCGCUCAAGAAACUCAAAGGAAUUGACGGGGCCCGCACAAGCGGUGGAGUAUGUGGUUUAAUUCGAUGCAACGCGAAGAACCUUACCUGGUCUUGACAUCCCGGAGACCCUUAGGAAACUAGGGGGUGCUUCCAUCUGGAAGAAUCUGGAGACAGGUGCUGCAUGGCUGUCGUCAGCUCGUGUCGUGAGAUGUUGGGUUAAGUCCCGCAACGAGCGCAACCCUUGCCUUUAGUUGCCAGCAGUUCGGCUGGGCACUCUAAAGGGACUGCCGGUGUUAAACCGGAGGAAGGUGGGGAUGACGUCAAGUCCUCAUGGCCUUUAUGACCAGGGCUACACACGUACUACAAUGGCCGAUACAAAGGGCAGCGACACUGCGAGGUGAAGCCAAUCCCGUAAAAUCGGUCUCAGUCCGGAUUGGAGUCUGCAACUCGACUCCAUGAAGUUGGAAUCGCUAGUAAUCGUGGAUCAGCAUGCCACGGUGAAUACGUUCCCGGGCCUU
rnacentral:rRNA from 1 species